GUGAAACUCUCCACUCGUGCGUUUGAUUGCAGGUGCACGUACGAAUUUGAACUUUGAAUUUUAUAAUUAUGCAAAUCUGUCGCUAUAAGCACCUCGUAUAUAUAAUAUACAGGAUCAAACGGUCACCACUGCAGUGUGGAAUUAAAGGAGAAAGUGCAUCUCAGUCUCAUCCUCACCUACAUGCAGUGAUCACAUGUUCUGUCCUCUCUGGACAGUCGGGGCUGUCUGUAUCUGUCCUGUUCUGACUGAGCUCACUGAGGCUGGACUUGGUUGGCAUCUCUGCUUUGUGUCUCGGACAUAUCCAAACCACUGGCCCUGCUGUUGCUCACUGGCACCUCUCCAUUCAACAUAUCACCAGCCGGCAGCAUGUGAUUGGCUGCUGGUCCAGCCAAUCAAACCCACAUGCAUAGUGACACAGACACAGAUCAAAAUGUUUCAGAUACACACACACACACACACACACACACAUACACACACACACACAC